GUGGUUAUGUAUCUGUUUGUGAUUAAUUAGUCACCGUUAUUUGUAUAGUGUAGGCACCUGAAUUUUCUAUUAGGUGCAAAAUCAAACUUCAAAUUAUAGUAGUGUUCUUUUGGCUUCCAUUUCUGGUAAGUGUUAUUUUUUUUUAUUAUAGUAGUGUUUAUGUUUAUUUGUAUUAUCAAGUUUGUUCCCCAGUUUUUACUCACCCUGAGCUCAAUUCAUGCAUAAUCAACUGCCAUUUUUCUAAAAUUCUACUUGUUCCCACAUUAAUUCAUCCAUGUUUAAGUAAACAAUAGAAUCCUUGCACUUUUGUUCUACAAGUACCUGAAUGGAAGCAAAAAUUUUACUUCUGCACCAUGUUUCAGUCAUAUUUCGAGUUUGCAUUUUUGUUAGGACCAUAAGAGAAUCUUUAUUUUACUAUUGUGCAUUUAACAUGCAUUCCAUCUCAUUCUGAAGAAAAAAAAAAUGAUGUACAAGCUUUGAACUUUAUAAAUCUGGUUUUUUGGAGUCUAUUAAAAAGUAUAGCAUCAUUUUUUGAUACUGUUCACGAUAGUAACUCACUCAAACAUAAUUCUUCUAUUGUUACCAUCAUUGUAAUUUCGAGUUAUUUCAGGUUCUAGCUUUAGUAAAUUUGAAAUUUACUGAUGAUAAGCUUAUGCAUAAAUUUUGAGUUUCAAAUUUUAGGGUCUUGCUUAGAAUGAAUAGCUGGCAGAUUAAAGAAUUUUAUUAUCCUUAAAAGACAACAAUGCUUCUCUCCCAAACCGUAUAAGUGACAAUCUCUAAAGAUGUGGAGCUUAUCAAUCAUCCAAAAUCUUAGUCACUAUGUUCAUGCUCUUCCAUGCUCACCUAUGGAUGACAAUCAAAAUCUACUCUGUAGGUUCUUCAUUCACAAUCUGAGCUAGACACUGCCUUUUCUCUUGAUCUUUCAUUUUUCCUGUACUGCUGCUUCAAUUCCAGUGCUUUGUUGUUGUGGAAACAAACUUUAGGAUGUAUGCACGCUCAUCAUCUAAACUGCACUGCAAGUCUUUGUGCCUCUUCUCAAGGUAGCUGUUUGAACCUCUGCAAUGUAAGGAAGGGUUUGAAGGGAUUUACAGCUACCUGCAAUGUGUGCAAUAGAUUUUGUGUGCAAUCUCCAAGAAAGGGUUUGAAGGGAUUUGAAUGUCUGGUGUGUGAUGAUUUGGAAAGGUUAACGGAUUCCACGCUGAUGUAAAGUUUUCUCCCUUAUUGAUGAAAGCACUGGUGUCAGGAAUGGAAUGAAGCUCUCAUCACAUGGUGCUUUUUGGAUUUUGAAGCUGAGUUGAUAUGUAAAAUCCCAUUUUGCCCAAGGCUUGCUAAUGACAUACUGUUUGGCACUUUACUAAAAAUGGCCUUCUUUUUUUUCUCUUAAUCAACAUAUUAUUGGGAGAUGGAUUUGCAAAGAAGAGAAACACGGGUCAGUUCUUCAGAUGGUAAGCAGCAGAUCGUAGCCACAUAAAAAGGAAUGAGUUUUUAAUGGGCAGUGAAAAUGUUUGGAUGGAAAAUCUAUUUGAAUAUCCUUCCUUUUCAAUGAAACUUGAGUAUGUGCAAAGUAAUUCAAUUUGAUGACUGCUAACUUGUACAUUAGUGGCAAAUUAGAGAUGUUUUUGGUGGUUUGAGUAAGCUUAUAAUGUGAUUGACAAUGUUAGCAUUGUAGUCAUUCACUUCCACACCCAACACAAUUUGUGGAUCAAUGCAGUUCUUGACCCUUUUUAAGUCUCUU